AGUGAACGCUGGCGGCGUGCUUAAUACAUGCAAGUCGAACGGUGAAGUCCUAGCUUGCUGGGAUGGAUUAGUGGCGCACGGGUGAGUAAUAUAUAGUUAAUCUGCCUUGCACUGAGGAACAACAGUUGGAAACGAUUGCUAAUACCUCAUACUCCAACUUUACAUAAGUUAAGUUGGGAAAGUCUUUUCGGUGCAAGAUGAGACUAUAUCGUAUCAGCUAGUUGGUAAGGUAAUGGCUUACCAAGGCUAUGACGCGUGACUGGUCUGAGAGGAUGAUCAGUUACAUUCGAACUGAGACACGGGCCAAACACGUACGGGAGGCAGCAGGAAGGAAGAUUGUUCAAUGGGGGAAUGCCUGACGCAGCACCGGCGCGGGAAGGAUGACACUUUGCUGAGCGUAAACUUCUUUUGUUACGGAAGAAUAAUGACGGUACCGAACGAAGAAGCACCGGCUAACUACGUG
rnacentral:rRNA from 1 species